GAUUUAUAAAGAAGCGUGGAGAGACAGGCUCUAUGAAACGCUAGCAACCAGCCGCAGUGCAAGGUGCUAAUUCCUGAUUCCGGAAGUCCGGAUGUAUAUAAAUU
rnacentral:ncRNA from 2 species